GAGAUUGAACCUAGGCCUCAUGCAUGCUAAGCAUGUGCUGUACCACUGAGCUAUACUCCCAGUCUGUCAAAUUCUCUUCAAAAUUGAGGACACUGAGGGAAGAAAAGAAAGCAGCACAGGGACAUGUUCCAGAGGUUCCUGCAGUCCCAGGUAGCAGCAGAGGAAUCCACCCUGCAGGCAGAUAAAUCUCUCACCAAAAAGGAGAAGGCUGUGGGCAAACUCAACUCCCAGGAAUGGGCAGAUUCCUGCAGUGCCUCCGGCAGAUCCCACAAGAAGACCUUCCUCAGAAAGAUCUUCCAGGGGCAGUGUGCUGGGCUGAGAUGGAGGCAGCUGAAAAGAAACCAAAGUUUUUAAAACAAAAGAAUGGCUCUCAAAGGCAUCUCAAGGCAAGAGUCUCAAGAAAAACAUGGACUAACUCUAAAAGAAGCUCACAUUGGAGAGAGAAAACUUCCUCAGUGAGCUGAAAGUGAUGUUGAACCACCUACUAAAGGCGGGUGUGCCCCUCCUCUAUACUGCCCUUUGUUCUUGGUGCCCUGUCAAGGUGCUGAAAGUUACAGCCAGAUUAUGAAGGAAGU